GGAUGUGAGGGUGAUCUGGCUGCGACCUCUGUCACCCCAUGGAUCGCCAGGGCUGUCCAGCUGAUCUGGCUGGCUAGGCGGGUGUCCCCUUCCUCCCUCAACGCUCCAUGUGCGUCCCUCCCGAAGCUGUACGCUCGGUCAAAGAGACGACCACCCCGAUAGAGGAGGACCGUUUCUCGGUCACGGGUUUACGAGUAGCUGCGCUCCGCUGCUAGACCUCUGAAAAAGCUCUUGAGAAACCACACACACA
rnacentral:sRNA from 1 species